rnacentral:rRNA from 1 species
UGACAGGUGGUGCGAUGGUUGUCGUCAGCUCGUGUCGUGAGAUGUUGGGUUAAGUCCCGCAACGAGCGCAACCCUCGACCUUAGUUGCCAGCAUUCAGUUGGGCACUCUAAGGUGACUGCCGGCUAAAAGUCGGAGGAAGGUGGGGAUGACGUCAAAUCAUCAUGCCCCUUAUGACCUGGGCUACACGCGUGCUACAAUGGGCGGUACAAAGGGUCGCGAACCCGCGAGGGGGAGCCAAUCCCAAAAAGCCGCUCUCAGUUCGGAUUGCAGGCUGCAACUCGCCUGCAUGAAGCCGGAAUCGCUAGUAAUCGCGGAUCAGCAUGCCGCGGUGAAUACGUUCCCGGGCCUU